rnacentral:RNase_P_RNA from 1 species
CAAGGCAAGCGGAUGAUCACUCUGAUAUUUAUUAGAGAGGAAAGUCCGGACUCCGAAAGUACUUUUGUACUGGAAAGCGGCAAUGGAUAACGUCCAUCACCCCGCAUUUGCGGGGUAGGGAAAGUGCCACAGAGACAAUACUAGUCUGCCUCUUCGGCGGAUGAAAGGUGAAAAGUUACGCAGUGUUUAAGUUGUGUUAGGAUAUCCGAAUAACUUAUGCUAGGCGUAUUCUGCGCCGGUGACGGUGUAUGACGGUAAACCCUGCCUGGAGCAAGAGCAAACUACCUCGCAUUAUGCGUGGUAAUGAAAAGUAGCUCGCAUGACCCUAGCGGCAACGCUAGGGCUAGAUAGAUGAUCGUCUAAGACAGAAUCCGGCUUAUAGCUUGCCUUGAUAU